rnacentral:lncRNA from 1 species
AAGGUGUUACAUCAGAACUUGGGGACUGGGGUGUAGAUCAGAGGGUUAGGGUGCUGCUUCAUAUAUGUAAGGUCAUGGGUUCCAUUCCCAGCACCAGAAAAGUAACAAACACACAAACAAAAAAGAUUUUUAAAGAAGAGACAAUGACUCUAGAAUGGAGAAGUAGCAGCUAAUGAAAAUGUUUUUCUUUCUUUUUUUUUUUCUUUUAGUUCAAAAUUCAGCAGUAAAAUUAAAUAUGUUAAUAGCUUAUCAGAACUCAGCGGGCUGAUCCCAAUGGAUUGCAUCCAUAUUCCAGAGAGUAUCAUCAAACUGGAUGAAGAACUGAGAGAAGCAUCAGAAGCAGCUAAAACUAGCUGCCUUUACAAUGAUCCAGAAAUGUCUUCUAUGGAGAAGGAUAUUGACCUGAAGCUGAAAGAAAAGGCCUAGUGGGCCACGGCUGGGGGAUGAGGAUGCUUUUUGCUUCGUGGUUCUGCUGAAACAUAUCUACCUGGAAGAGACAGGGCUGAUGUUACUUUUUUCCACUUUGCACUACCUGGUGCCAUUCUAAAUUUCUAAGGGGAAAAACAGGAGGAGAAUUUGUUUACUCUUAACAUGUUUUAUGAAAUUGUGUGUAUUUUCCUAUUUUGCCAAUUAUGUGCCUCAAAGAUUUUAGUUGAACCUUAGCAAGAAAGUAGGAACUUCCAAUUCAGUGUUUUUACCCUUGGUGCAGUGGUAUUUGGUCCCUUAGUCUGGCAUUUACCAAUAAGAGAACUUAAAUCCACUGUUAAGCGUAUGUGGAUUUCUUUCCCUAGUUUAGCUGGAUUUCUCUGUGAUGAACACUUUAGAUUUAAAGUACACAGGGCUCAACUCUCCCC